CUGAGGCUUUCUCGCCCCUUUAAUUCCUCCAGUUGAUGGCCAAGGCCUCUGCUUCCCCUUCUCUUCCGAGAGCAAGCCCUUCUUUUGAGAAAUGACCGUGCCAAAGUGGAACUCACACGCCCAGCCUGGAGCAAGUCUUGUCAAUCCGAUUUUUAAAUGAUGCAGGAGGUCUGAGGGUAAGGCUUAUGGUGUAUCCGUCUCUGGGAUGAUGCAAAACAAAGUGGAAAGGAGAAAAGAACCUUCUGAAUGUAUGCACAGCAGCAGACCGGGAGGACAGAGAGGUAGUUACAGUGAACUGGAACAAACCUGCAACAUCAGGUGCAUUCCGCCUUCAAAAAUAGCUGCCAGUUAGAAAGGGUUAUUUACAUAUUGAUUUCAUGCUAACUUUGUAAUGGAAUGUGCUGCCUGCCUGCCUGAGACCUAACAACUGUCAUCAUAAUUUUUUCUAAAAAUACAGCCCGAGAAAAACACUUGGUGAACCUUCCACUGGAAAGUGGCUGAGAAAGGCCCCAGAUCCCAAACGUGCUCGACAGUCAACCGUCAAGCGCAGGAACACUCAACAGCUAUAACCGAGGGGGUAUUUCACAGCUAGAGCUGGCCCCCGCUUCUUCCAACCAGCCUGGAGUUCCUUUUUUGUUCUCCUAGAAAACCUGUCUUGCUCUAAGGCCUGAUGGAGCUGAUUCGGUUGUGAUCCUGGGCAUAUGGAUGGCAUAUUUGCUGCGAGCUAGCCGGCCCCACUGCUGGGGACAAAUCUUUCAUUCAUGAAGAGGAGCUUGUUAGGCCAACUCCGGACUCCAGAGCCACUUAAUUAAACUGUGGAAAGU